UUAAAUAAUUUUAAGUCCGAAGACAGCAAGUGGCUUAAGCCGUAAACAUUUUGUGCUUGCCGAGGUGAAAGUUUUGAUAGAUUUUUUCUCUCAAAGUCUUGUUUCGGGCUUUGGGAGUUAUUUUUUUGU
rnacentral:sRNA from 1 species